AGCGAACGCUGGCGGCAGGCCUAACACAUGCAAGUCGAACGGACCCUCCGGGGUUAGUGGCGGACGGGUGAGUAACACGUGGGAACGUGCCUUUAGGUUCGGAACAGCUCCUGGAAACGGGUGGUAAUGCCGGAUGUGCCCUUCGGGGGAAAGAUUUAUCGCCUUUAGAGCGGCCCGCGUCUGAUUAGCUAGUUGGUGAGGUAAUGGCGCACCAAGGCGACGAUCAGUAGCUGGUCUGAGAGGAUGACCAGCCACAUUGGGACUGAGACACGGCCCAAACUCCUACGGGAGGCAGGAGUGGGGAAUCUUGCGCAAUGGGCGAAAGCAUGACGCAGCCAUGCCGCGUGAAUGAUGAAGGUCUUAGGAUUGUAAAAUUCUUUCACCGGGGACGAUAAUGACGGUACCCGGAGAAGAAGCCCCGGCUAACUUCGUGCCAGCAGCCACCGUAACAC
rnacentral:rRNA from 1 species